UUUAUAAAUAUGUCUCUGUUUUAGAUUUCGAAAUAUUGUUUCUUGUCGGACAACUUCUUUCCGAAACCCUUUCACUCGGCGUCCCAUAAUUGGAUAUUAAUUACACUUAAAAAAAUGAAUGCAGAAAUGAAGAAUCACUUAUUGUUUAAAAAUUGUUCGAUCUCCAGCAAUUAUUUUCGACGUCGUUUUUUUUUUUUAAAUUGCUACCAUUUUUCCAUAAUCGCCAAUCUGAAAUUUGGCACUUUCUAAGAUUUUUCAAAAAUAUUUCGAAAUUCUCGUUCUGGAACCACAAACAUUUUUCGAAUUUUCUGUGGCAAAAUUUGUCAAUCCUGGCUCUUUGUGAAAUUUUCGACCCUUUUUCAGUCACCAAAAUCACCUAAAGGUUUUUUUUACAGGUUUAGAACCUUUUUAUGAAAACUCAAUUAAAUCGUUCAAAUUGUGAUCCUAAAAGCCAUGGCAAUUUUUAAGAUUUUUCAAAAAUUCAUUUUCAAACCAAAUAUCGCGAAAUUCACUAAAUCUAACAAUGAGAAAUAAUAAGCCCUUAAGAGUGCGGGUGGUCACCGGCACCAGCUUACCGUCAUAAAUCAAGGAUUUGUGCGAUGACAGUUGAAACGAUUUAUGAUUAUGGGUUUUUCCUCAUUAAUAAAUCCAUAGUCCAAUUCACAACACCCUAAUUUUAUAACAGUCAGUUAAAAAAUUAGAAUUUCGAAAGCUUAUACUAGUGACUGACUCUAUGCCAAUCAGAUAUCGUUAAACGCUUGAUUAAAUGCGUGAUUAACUUCCUACUCAGUCUCCUCAGUAGUCGACAACUGCAUACACCCUCGCACAGCACACAAGCCGGUUCAAGAAUGGAAAAGUCACAAGCUGACUUUUUGAAGUACAUGGAGUGUCCAGUCUGUCUGGACAUUCUUCGUCCUUCUGUCCUUUAUGCGGAAACGGACACAGUAUUUGCCAUGACUGCCACUACCAACUACUGAAAACCUCGCAGAUAGCAAAAUGUCCAGUUUGUCAGGAAGACUUCGACCUGUCAGGACUUCAAGAGGCAGUUGUAUCUCUAGAUGGAGGUGGCCUGCAGAUUCGACGGAUGCAAAAUGGAAGGGAGUUAAUAUAAUAGCAUAGGCGGCCCCCGCUGCCCGGCGCCCUUUGUCACGGACGCCCCGAUGCGGUGCAUCUUUUGCUUACCGUGUUAAGCCGGCCCUGGGUAUGGCGCAGAAGUGAUCCGACACGAAAGAAGAUGUCUCUUUCGACUACGAGAAUGGCCUAAAUACUCUUGAAAAGGGCCCCAGACGUGGUUAGUAAACCAUUACUUCGUAAAGCAUGCAAGUUGAUAGUGCCCAUAAUUAGUGGGGUAAUAAAUCAUGAUUGACAGGUGUCAUAAACAUGACAAAUGUCAAUUAAGAUAUCGAUCUUAAUGAAAUGUAAUGGAACAUUUGAAGGCGGUGGCGUUAAAUUUAGCACUUUAGUUGUAACUAUGUGUUUUGCACAAUAUUUGUUUAAAGACAAAUGAUAUAGAGGCACCCCCUGCUCCUGAAGAGAUAAAUGAGCAGGAUUUGGAAGUGCAAAUAAAUGACGGACAAAUGCCCAACAUUGAAGAAGGGCCAGACCCAGUUCGCUAUGGUACACGAGAAAUUUUAAUAGAACAACACUUUGCUGCAUUGUAAAUAACCACUUUAUUUUAAAUUCUACAACGCAGAAUUACCA